UGGGGAAUUUUGGACAAUGGGCGAAAGCCUGAUCCAGCAAUGCCGCGUGUGUGAAGAAGGCCUUCGGGUUGUAAAGCACUUUUGUCCGGAAAGAAAUCCUCUGGGUUAAUACCUCAGGGGGAUGACGGUACCGGAAGAAUAAGCACCGGCUAACUACGUGCCAGCAGCCGCGGUAAUACGUAGGGUGCAAGCGUUAAUCGGAAUUACUGGGCGUAAAGCGUGCGCAGGCGGUUUUGUAAGACGGAUGUGAAAUCCCCGGGGCUUAACCUGGGAACUGCAUUCGUGACUGCAAGGCUAGAGUAUGGCAGAGGGGGGUAGAAUUCCACGUGUAGCAGUGAAAUGCGUAGAGAUGUGGAGGAAUACCGAUGGCGAAGGCAGCCCCCUGGGCCAAUACUGACGCUCAUGCACGAAAGCGUGGGGAGCAAACAGGAUUAGAUACCCUGGUAGUCCACGCCCUAAAACGAUGUCAACUAGUUGUUGGGGAUUCAUUUCCUUAGUAACGUAGCUAACGCGUGAAGUUGACCGCCUGGGGGAGUACGGUCGCAAGAUUAAAACUUAAAGGAAUUGACGGGG
rnacentral:rRNA from 1 species